rnacentral:lncRNA from 1 species
GCUGUGGUCAGAAGCAGCGUGGGCUGCUGGCAUGGCUCGCUGGUGUCAGCGAUUCUGUUUGCAGACCUGAGUGCAUGAGUGCACGCACUGCUGUGCCCUGCUGCUGGGAAGAAGGGGGACAGAGGCCAGGACCCCUGCAUUUGGGAACAGGUCUGGCAACUCUGUGUUACUGGAUAACCACAAUUGUUUUUCCCUCUGUGUUUUGUCAAAAGCCUGAGUCAUUGUCUGGCUUCCCAGGAUAGCCUGAGUAUGCUGACAAACUGAGUGCUUUGUGGUGUUUUGAGAAGUGAGUUUUGGCAUGGAGAGCAGCAGCCUGCCCCAGCCAGGCUACAGUUCUCCAUUCAUGGCACCUCCUUAAGCACAGAAUGGGCCUCCCUCCGUCUUAAAAACUGAGGCAACUGUAGAUUCAGGGCUCAGUACUGGGCUGGAGCUGAGACAGGAUUAUGAAGAGACUUUUAUGCCUCAUUUUAGAUUUAUCCUCUUAACUGUGCUGAUAAAUGUAUUCAGUGCAUCUGGGAACACUUGGUAGCAAGAGACAGAGAAACUUGACACUAAAACAAACCCAGGACAACCAGAGCAGACUGUGACUAUGUACUGCUCAGGGGAGCUGAGACUCAUUGUCCCUCUGCUUCUCAAAGCAGACAAGGAACAACGUGAACAAGAGUGCAUAUCCAAGAACUGCAUUGUGCAAUGUGUCCAGUGGCCACAGAAGUGUGCAGGCUUCUUUAGGCUCUAUCAACACAGAAGGUUCAGGUUGCGUGGAGGUGUGUUGAGACCCAGCAGUGGCUGCUGUGUGAGGCCGAGAUGCUGCUGACGCCUGUGGGAAGUUAUUGACCACCUUUACCCAGCACAACCCUGCAUGCGUCAUCCUGACCCACUGCCUGCAUGGUGUCCCCAUGAGCCCUUCCUGAGAGCCAGAAGGGAUGGCCAAGGACAUGUUUUGGCCUGGGAAAACCUCCCGGGGUUGGAGCUGCCCCUUCUGAGUGGCCACCUCCAGCUCACUACAAUGAUGUCCACCUCUCUUAUCAUUAAUUGCUCUUCCUGACAUAAAAUAACUACAGAAUCUGGAAUUUUGGCUAAGGGUUAGGGUUAAAAAAAUAGAAAAAAAAUAUAAAAAAAGAAGAGGAAUAGUAAUUUAAAUGCAUGAGGUGCGUCUGGUUCUCUGCAGGCAUCCUGCAAGAUUAAUUUUCUUUUCCUCCUUACCUCCUACCUGAGGCACCCAUUGUCUACAGUGCAUGAUUCACUUGGGAAUGUAAUUUAUUUUUUUUUUUGAAACUGUCCUUCUUUGGUAUUUCUGUGUUUUUUUAUUUUGUUUCUUUUUUGUUUUCCUUUCCUUGGAACAUCCCAGUUGCAGGAAAUAUUAAUCACUUCCGAGUUUGUUCUGAUUUGGUCCAAAACUGAAAAUAAAAAUAAAAAGGCAAAU